rnacentral:rRNA from 1 species
GUAGGGUGGCAAGCGUUGUCCGGAAUUAUUGGGCGUAAAGCGCGCGCAGGCGGUCCUUUAAGUCUGGGUGUGAAAGCCCACGGCUCAACCGUGGAGGGUCAUUGGAAACUGGGGGACUUGAGUACAGAAGAGGAAAGCGGAAUUCCAAGUGUAGCGGUGAAAUGCGUAGAGAUUUGGAGGAACACCAGUGGCGAAGGCGGCUUUCUGGUCUGUAACUGACGCUGAGGCGCGAAAGCGUGGGGAGCAAACAGGAUUAGAUACCCUGGUAGUCCACGCCGUAAACGAUGAGUGCUAAGUGUUAGGGGGUUUCCGCCCCUUAGUGCUGCAGCUAACGCAUUAAGCACUCCGCCUGGGGAGUACGGCCGCAAGGCUG